AAGAAGAAGAUUAACCACUUCCACGAGCUUCACGCCACGGCUUUUUACAGAAUUCUGUUCUGAUGUUGAGCUGUGGUCCCUUCAUCCAGACGCUCUUCGAAAACCAGUCUCUUUCACAGACAUCAGGGUCCAGUGACUACUUUUGGGGGGUCUGCAAACUUCCAAUGAGGACCAUUGACCAAUUGAAAAGGAUUCACUCAAGGAGGGAUUAAAUGCCACCAUCUCACCCCAAUACCUUGGAAAUGAUGGGUCAAUUAUUGGGUGAUGGCUUUUCCACCACCAAAACGCUUGUAAAUAGUUGCCUAAAACACAUGAAUAGUUAAUUGUUUUAGGCUGGAACCGUUUAAUUUCUAAUAAUACAUUUUAAAAUAUAAUUGUAUAAAAUGCCAUGUUGUUUUAUGUAUUGUAAAUAAACAAGUCAUUCAGCACCAUUUCAGUAAGUAACUAAUGUCAAGCAGUUGUGACUGUUGCGCAUAAUUAUUGUGAUGCUGUAUAAAGUAAUAUCAAAGGUGACAACAUACUUGCCACACAAUUUUUAUAUCAAUUGACAUGACAAAAGUGCAGUUGAGGCAUGACAAUGUCAAAGUUGCAUCAACAGCAGCUUGUAAAUGGGAUGAUUUUGAAUAAAAACUUUCUUGAAAUUAUUAUAAUUAUUUUAAUUGGUGUCAAUGAUCCCUUCGAUGCAAAUUCGAGUGACUAUUUACCUCACAAUCGCAUAACAUGUUGUAUUUGGUUAUGACAAAUGGGGAAAGUCAAAAUUUGUCAGCAACUUGUACAAACUGUUCUGCUUGAUUUUGAAUUAUCUGCAGAUUAAUUUGGGCAUGCAUUCAUGGCAGCUUGGUGUAUGUUUCAAUCAUGGCUAUCAGCUUUUACAACAGUACUGCAAAAUAAAUUCUCAACAUCUGAA